rnacentral:lncRNA from 1 species
AUAUUAUAUUAUAUAAAGCUACAAACCCACUGACUGACUGACUGACUGACUGACUGACUCACUGACUCACUGACAGGGUUGUUCUCCCAGAAGGAGCGUCGGGGGGUGAAAAUGAUGUAUGGGGGGUGUGAUCAAGAUCUUCCGGUGAGUAUGGGAAAACUUCCAGAUCUUGGAAAACUGCUCCGCAUCAGGGAGACACCCUACGGCCUGGCGCAACUAUCGCACCUAGAACGAUUCUUU